UACAGAGGGUGCAAGCGUUAAUCGGAAUUACUGGGCGUAAAGCGCGCGUAGGCGGUUGUGUAAGUUGGAGGUGAAAUCCCCGGGCUUAACCUGGGCAUUGCCUUCAAAACUGCAUGGCUAGAGUACGGGAGAGGGGGGUAGAAUUCCAGGUGUAGCGGUGAAAUGCGUAGAGAUCUGGAGGAAUACCGAUGGCGAAGGCAGCCCCCUGGCCUGCUACUGACGCUGAAGUGCGAAAGCAUGGGGAGCAAACAGGAUUAGAUACCCUGGUAGUCCAUGCCGUAAACGAUGUCGACUAGGUGUUGGGGAACUUGAUUCCUUAGUGCCGCAGCUAACGCAUUAAGUCGACCGCCUGGGGAGUACGGUCGCAAGACUAAA
rnacentral:rRNA from 1 species